CAAGCUGUGGGGCAUGUGGGUUUUAAUUCGAGCAUACCCGUAGUACUUUACUGUCCUGGACAUCCUCGGAACCCUGGAGAGAUUGAGGGGUGCCUUCGGGAUCGGUGAGACAGGUGCUGCAUGGCUGUCUGUCAGCUCGGUGUCGUGAGAUGUUGGGUUAAGUCCCGCAACGAGCGCAACCGUUGUCCAUAGUUGCCAGCAUUUCGGAUGGGGAACUGUAAGGAGACUGCCGGUGACAAACCGGAGUAAGCUGGGGAUGACGUCAAGUCUUCAUGGCCCUUAUGGCCAGGGCUGCACACGUGCUACAAUGGCCGGUACAGAGGGAGGCGAAGCUGCGAGGUGAAGCAAAUCCCAGAAUACCGGUCGUAGUCCGGAUUGGAGUCUGCAACUCGACUCCAUGAAGUCGGAAUCGCUAGUAAUCGCGAAUCAGCAAGUCGCGGUGAAUACGUUCCCGGGCAUUUGUACACACCGCCCGUCACACCAUGGGAGUGAAAUGUACCAAGAAGUCGCUAGUCUAACCUACGGGGGGACGGUGCCCACGGUAUGUUUCAUGACUGGG
rnacentral:rRNA from 1 species